GGGCGGCGGCAGAGGCGGCGGCAGCAGCAGUAGCAGCAGCACAUGGUUCCAAGAGCGCCCUGCGGUUGUUGGGUUCCAAUUCCGCGGGGAGGGACAAAGGCAGCGACGAGCUCCCGGCAACGCCCGGUUGGGUGGUGCGCUCGCUACUGCUCUUGAUCCUGGCCUUGAAAGCUAGUGGUAACUCCUUUCCGUGAGGAGGUGACCACGGGACCGAGGCCCAGGAAGGGCCUGAGAGGCUGAGGCCGCUGUCUGAGGGAAGUGGGGGAGGGGCGCGGCCCUCCCUUUGGUGAUUUGGGCGGGUCAAUUGUGAGGCCCUCCUGUGGGCUUGCGUGAGGUAAUUUACCCACCACCCAGAGGAGAUUGGGGUGGGACAGCAAGUCGGGUUUGCCUCGGCUUUGAAAAAGGAAAUCUUCAGUCAGCGCCAAGGAGCUCUUUCAGUUGGGAAGUACUGAAGCCGGAACUACCGCCAUAUGUACCCGAUCAACAUUGUGGUACUCAGUCUAGAGCCUAUUUAAGAAUCUUGUCAUCUGGUGGCGAAGACAAUGGGUGACUGUUUAGUUUUAUGACAGAAGUGGGUAAAUUCCGGGUUGGUAAGUAUCCAGAUUGGUAAAGUUCCUGAUCACAGGAAGUUUAUGGGAACAGCAGCAACAAAAGACUAAAAGAAUACGAAGAUGCAACAGUAAUAAACCACCAAUUUAAGGACCAUAUAUUCCAGGAUAAUCAACAUUCAGCUCGUCCUCUGAAUUGAACUAUUGCCAACUAAAGUUAAAAGCUCCUCAGAACCGUAGAUUUAUGACGUAGUUCUUUCUGAAAAAUUACGUCACAGUCAUUGAGAAGAUUAAAAAAAAACCGCAGAAGAAAUCAACUGUAGUUUUAAACAUCUCUUUGAAUAUCUUUGAAUAUAUUCCAGAUAAACAUUAGGUAACUUUGUUUAAUCAUCAUUCAGGAGUGCAGACUUACUAAACCUUUAUUGGAAGAAAUCCUAGAAAAAUCUAUUCCGUUAUAAAGUUAAACUGCUCAGUUAGUGGGUAGAAGACUGGAGAACUCAUUGAAGUCAUGGCCUUCACAAAUUACAGCAGUCUGAAUCGAGCUCAGCUAACCUUUGAAUAUCUGCACACAAAUUCAACCACCCAUGAAUUCUUGUUUGGUGCUCUUGCUGAACUGGUUGAUAAUGCAAGAGAUGCUGAUGCCACCAGAAUAGAUAUUUUUGCAGAAAGGCGAGAGGACCUUCGAGGAGGAUUUAUGCUUUGUUUUUUGGAUGAUGG